UACAGAGGUGGCAAGCGUUGUUCGGAAUUACUGGGCGUAAAGAGCUCGUAGGCGGCUUGUCGCGUCGGCUGUGAAAGUCGGGGGGCUCAACCCUCGGAUGCCGGGUGGAUACUGUCGGGCUUGAGUACGGAAGAGGCGAGUGGAAUUCCUGGUGUAGCGGUGAAAUGCGCAGAUAUCAGGAGGAACACCAAUUGCGAAGGCGGCAUCCUGGACCAACACUGACACUGAGGAGCGAAAGCCAGGGGAGCAAACGGG
rnacentral:rRNA from 1 species